rnacentral:rRNA from 1 species
GACGAGCGCUGGCGGCGUGCUUAACACAUGCAAGUCGAACGGAAAGGCCCUGCUUUUGUGGGGUGCUCGAGUGGCGAACGGGUGAGUAACACGUGAGUAACCUGCCCUUGACUUUGGGAUAACUUCAGGAAACUGGGGCUAAUACCGGAUAGGAGCUCCUGCUGCAUGGUGGGGGUUGGAAAGUUUCGGCGGUUGGGGAUGGACUCGCGGCUUAUCAGCUUGUUGGUGGGGUAGUGGCUUACCAAGGCUUUGACGGGUAGCCGGCCUGAGAGGGUGACCGGGCCCAUUGGGACUGAGGUACGGCCCAGAAUGCUACGGGAGGCAGCAGUGGGGAAUAUUGCACAAUGGGCGGAAGCCGGAUGCAGCAACGCCGCGUGGGGGAUGACGGCCUUCGGGUUGUAAACCGCUUUCGCCUGUGACGAAGCGUGAGUGACGGUAAUGGGUAAAGAAGCACCGGCUAACUACGUG